rnacentral:lncRNA from 1 species
UUCUUCCGGUGCUGCCGCCUGCGGCAGGGCCUCUUGAGCCGCACCCGGGGACGGGGAAGCGACUGGAUUAGCGGGAAGAUUUAGAUCGGGAAUUGUUGGUUUCUUCGAAGAGCUGGCUCCGCUUCCACCUUCCCCGAAAUCGAUUGGCUUAACCCGAUUCUCUUUCUAUUGGAAAUGGAAUUGAAGUGAAGGCCCAAGACUUCCACUUCUUCUCUAUCUUCCUUAAAUUACAAUUGAAUCCUGAUUUGUGGUUGGCGAAAAGAGAAAGGCAGACAAUUCUGCAAAAGGAAAAAAGCUGGAUAUUCCAGGAGGGCGAGGGCUUUCUCAUCUAAAGGCAGGGGGGAGCUUUCUCACUAUACAAUGACCACUACGAACGAAGGACCAACGACGAUGAAGGAAGAGAAGGAGGAGGAGUAGGAGCUAGCCUUUGUAGAGGCGGAAUCGAAUGAUUACGAGAUAGACAAUGAGACAAAGGAGAGCACUUAGACAAUUCACUUUGAGUACAGGGUAGGUUGUUGUACAAAGAAAUCAUUUCAUGAAAUCAAGGAUGCCAUAACCCUGCGACCGGAUCUAUAAAAACUUAAUAUUAUGAUGUUCACGCCAUCCGUUGCAUCUUGUUGCAGGAAAAUGAUGAGGA